rnacentral:misc_RNA from 1 species
AUUGAUUAAACGUAAAAAUCCUUGCAACUUAUUAUUACCAGUUUUCCGGUAACUAAACUAUCCAAGCAUCAUUAAAAAAAACUAAAAUUACCUAAAUACCCUCACAUAAAAACCCUUAUUCUUCAUACAUGCCUCUCUUUUCUCUCUCUCAUGCCCUUAGUGUUUCUAGCUCUCUCUUCUCUUCUAGCAUUAUCGAUAUUCACUCUCAAAUUACCUAAAACAAAGCAUAAAUGACAUCAAUUAAUUUCAAAACAAAAAUUAAAAUAAGAAAUUAACACAAAAUUUUCAUCCAUUAAUAAAUAAUUUUAUUAACCAUAAACGAAUUUCUUACAAUUUUUCAAUAAAUUUCAAAAUUUCGAUAGAAAUAUCUAGUAAAACCACAAAAAUCAACCAAAAAAUAACCCAUGAACACAGGUUAAUAGUAACAAAAGGGAAUCUUGUUCUCAUGUCCAUAUUGUCCAGCAGUUUCAACUUCACUCUAACCACCAUGGAUUGGGUUGGAUUUUUUCUUAACCAUCAACCCAUCUUUAAGCCAUUGCAUAUUGACCAUGUUCAACCUUAAUCUAGACAUCAUUCAUUGCACAGAAGAAAUCAAUCGCCUCCAUGUAAAACCCAUUAACUAAAACACUUCACAGACUUUAUUCCAUGUCACAACAUCUCUUUCAAGUAUUUCAUCAGACACCCUUUAUAAAUCCCUCAAACUCACACAAUUAACAUAGAAAACAAAAUGGUGCUACCCACAAAACAUCCAAAUCAAAACCAAGUUUAAAGAUAAACCCAUCUCCACACAACAUUCAAACUAUCAGCACUUGCCUUAAGGAUAAAGGGGAAAGUGUUCCACAAGAAAAUAUAGCCAAUGAAAAAAACAUUUCCUUUAAAAAUAUGAUAACAGGUUGCAAGGUCAAGAAAAGUGGCAUAGCAAAGAAUGAGAAAGGGUAGAGAGAGACACUUUGAGGGACCAGUCGUCAAUCAAAUGCUUUCAUUUGCCCUAAUCUUCCCCUUCAGUCAUUGCAUAGAGGGCGUAUAGGAGUGCGCGUCCAUUCCAACCUCGAGCAAAGGCACCUUAGAAACCCUUUUUCAUUUCGUUAAGGCAACAUGGUCUUCCCUUAGCUUACUUUUCUACCUAGUAAUUGACUCCCUGGAUACUUAUAACAAAAAGAGGAUUGCUAAAAUUGGGAUUUUUCUUUUUAAUCAUCUACGGUGGGUUUUAUGUUAGGAGAUUUUUAGGGAUUUUGUUUCAGGGAUAAUGGGGUAAGUGAGAGGAAAGGUGGGGAAGGAAGGGUUGGAUAGCAGAGAGGUGAUUGUGUGGGUGGGGAAGAACAAAGGCGGUGAUAAUAUAGAGAGAUAGAUGAG